rnacentral:rRNA from 1 species
UUCCAUUAGAUAGUAGGCGGGGCAACGGCCCACCUAGUCAACGAUGGAUAGGGGUUCUGAGAGGAAGGUCCCCCACAUUGGAACUGAGACACGGUCCAAACUCCUACGGGAGGCAGCAGUGAGGAAUAUUGGUCAAUGGGCGAUGGCCUGAACCAGCCAAGUAGCGUGAAGGAUGACUGCCCUAUGGGUUGUAAACUUCUUUUAUAAAGGAAUAAAGUCGGGUAUGCAUACCCGUUUGCAUGUACUUUAUGAAUAAGGAUCGGCUAACUCCGUGCCAGCAGCCGCGGUAAUACGGAGGAUCCGAGCGUUAUCCGGAUUUAUUGGGUUUAAAGGGAGCGUAGAUGGAUGUUUAAGUCAGUUGUGAAAGUUUGCGGCUCAACCGUAAAAUUGCAGUUGAUACUGGAUGUCUUGAGUGCAGUUGAGGCAGGCGGAAUUCGUGGUGUAGCGGUGAAAUGCUUAGAUAUCACGAAGAACUCCGAUUGCGAAGGCAGCCUGCUAAGCUGCAACUGACAUUGAGGCUCGAAAGUGUGGGUAUCAAACAGGAU